GCAUCCACCCAGUUGUUCAGCUGAGGGAAAUGAAAGUGUUGAAUAUGCCAGCGAUAUGGAGGAAGGUAAAACUCAGGAUAGUCUGAAGUGAAAAAUUAUCAAAUGUCAUAGCUAGAGCAA